CCUGUGGCAAAAUGGCACCGUAACUUCGGGAGAAGGUGCACCGCUUUUGGUGAUGGGAUUUACUCCCUAAGCUGAGGGCGGUCGAAGAUACCAGGCCCCUGCAACUGUUUAUUAAAAACACAGCACUCUGCAAACACGUAAGUGGACGUAUAGGGUGUGACGCCUGCCCGGUGCCGGAAGGUUAAUUGAUGGGGUUAGCGCAAGCGAAGCUCUUGAUCGAAGCCCCGGUAAACGGCGGCCGUAACAAUAACGGUCCUAAGGUAGCGAAAUUCCUUGUCGGGUAAGUUCCGACCUGCACGAAUGGCGUAAUGAUGGGGGCGCUGUCUCCACCCGAGACUCAGUGAAAUUGAAAUCGCGGUUAAGAUGCCGUGUACCCGCGGCUAGACGGAAAGACCCCGUGAACCUUUACUAUAGCCUUGCACUGAACUUUGAACCUAUCUGUGUAGGAUAGGUGGGAGGCUUUGAAGUCGAGACGCUAGUUUCGAUGGAGCCGUCCUUGAAAUACCACCCUGGUAUGUUUGAGGUUCUAACGUCGGCCCCUUAUCGGGGUUACGGACAGUGUAUGGUGGGUAGUUUGACUGGGGCGGUCUCCUCCCAAAGAGUAACGGAGGAGCACGAAGGUGUGCUAAUCAUGGUCGGAAAUCAUGAGGUUAGUGUAAAGGCAAAAGCACGCUUGACUGCGAGACAGACAUGUCGAGCAGGUACGAAAGUAGGUCUUAGCGAUCCGGUGGUUCUGUAUGGAAGGGCCAUCCUCAACGGAUAAAAGGUACUCCGGGGAUAACAGGCUGAUACCGCCCAAGAGUUCUCAUCGACGGCGGUGUUUGGCACCUCGAUGUCGGCUCAUCACAUCCUGGGGCUGAAGCCGGUCCCAAGGGUAUGGCUGUUCGCCAUUUAAAGUGGUAUGCGAGCUGGGUUUAGAACGUCGUGAGACAGUUCGGUCCCUAUCUGCCGUGGGCGUUGGAGAUUUGAGAAGAGUUGUUCCUAGUACGAGAGGACCGGAAUGAACGAACCUCUGGUGUUCGGGUUGUCAUGCCAAUGGCAUUGCCCGGUAGCUACGUUCGGACGGGAUAACCGCUGAAAGCAUCUAAGCGGGAAGCCUCCUUCAAGAUGAGAUCUCCCUGGGACUUUAAGUCCCCUAAAGAGCCGUUGAAGACUACGACGUUGAUAGGUUGGGUGUGGAAGCGCAGCGAUGCGUUGAGCUAACCAAUACUAAUUGCUCGUGCGGCUUGAUC
rnacentral:rRNA from 1 species